UAGUCCACACCGUAAACGAUGAGUGCUAGUUGUUGGCAGGUAUACCUGUCGGUGACGCAGCUAACGCAUUAAGCACUCCGCCUGGGGAGUACGGCCGCAAGGUUAAAACUCAAAGAAAUUGACGGGGGCCCGCACAAGCGGUGGAGCAUGUGGUUUAAUUCGACGCAACGCGCAGAACCUUACCUACCCUUGACAUGCCCUGUUUGGUUACCGGAGACGGUUUCCUUCAUUUAGUUGGCAGGUGCACAGGUGCUGCAUGGCUGUCGUCAGCUCGUGUCGUGAGAUGUUGGGUUAAGUCCCGCAACGAGCGCAACCCUCAUCCUUAGUUGCCAGCAGGUUUGGCUGGGCACUCUAAGGAAACUGCCGGUGCUAAGCCGGAGGAAGGUGGGGAUGACGUCAAGUCCUCAUGGCCCUUACGGGUAGGGCUACACACGUGCUACAAUGGCAGUGACAAUGGGUUAAUCCCUAAAAACUGUCUCAGUUCGGAUUGUCGUCUGCAACUCGACGGC
rnacentral:rRNA from 1 species